GAGCAUGAGAUAGCACAGGGAUGUGCUUUUGUUUGUUUGAAGCUGGAAGGGGCCACAUGAGAAGGAAUGUGGGCAGCUUCUAAGAGCAAACAACAGUCCCUGGCUGGCAGCCAGCCAAGAAACAAGGACCUCCAUCCUACACCUGCAAGGAACCGAAUUCUGCCGACACCUGAAUGAGCUUGAAAGUGGGUUCUCUUCCAACACCUCUAGAUAAGAGUCCAGCUGGCUUACAACUUCGUUUCAGCCUUGUGAUACCCUGAGAAGAGCCCAGCUUAGCCUGCCAGGACCCCUGACCUACACAAGGGUUCCUCCAAAGACACAAGGAAUCGAGAUGCCUUUCCCACACGUGAUUCCACUGCAGGACAGCUUUCCCAUCUCUUUUCCUCCCACCUCAUAAUGAAAAAUUUUCCCAGAGAGUGAACACACAGAAUCUACUUCCCCAACCAGAGAUUGAACCUGGGCCCCCUGCAUUGGGAGUACAGAGUCUUAGCCACUGGACCACCAUGGAAGUCCCUUGAUUGGCCUUUUUUUUGCUGCAUGUGGUUAGGUACAGGAAGAGAGAGAUGAGCUAAAGAGAGAACUACUCACUUUGUAAACACUAUAGAGGGACAAUAAUGUAACCAAGACUUUCUAAGUUGGAAAAUAAAACUCUUUCAUAACCUUUUUUCAAGAAAUGGCCUCAAGUUAGAUUAAAUCAAGA